rnacentral:tRNA from 1 species
GGCGAAUAUAGCUCAAUGGUAGAGUACUAGUUUGUGGAUCUAGUUGUUAUGGGUUCAAAUCCCAUUAUUCGCC